AUGAGUCCCAACUUCACAGGUAGACUUUCCAGCCUCCAGCGCCUCAGAAAGUGACGCAACUAAGGUACAGUGCCAUCAAAAGGUCCCCUGUUCCUACCCAAGCCAUGCUGGGCUCUCCCGAAAGGGACAUGCCUACAUCACAGACUCAUCCUGGGUUGGGUAAAGGCAGGUAGAGACACCCGAGGCAUGAACAACAUUCGUGCUGUUAUUGCUUGGAGUAAAGAUGCCCUCUGCACAGGAAGAAGAACAGCUUGGAGUAGGGGUCAGCAUCCAGGCGGCAGUGUGGGUGGCACCCUGGGGCGGUGACUCCCCCGGCCCUGGCCCAGCCCCCAUCAUACAGGUCGAGCCCUCUCUGCCCUUUCCAGGAACCUUGGAGCCUCGCUGAGCUCCUCGUGAGCUCCAGCAGCUGUGCCUCAGGAGGCAGUGACAGCACGACUCUGAGAGGUGUCGGAGGGCUGGAGCAGCGCGGGCGGCACUCACGCAGGGCUGAGGCGGGCAGGAAGCCAGGCAUUCUGCGUCUGGACCAGGGGAGUGGAAGGCAGGGGCACCUGCUUCCUCCCAGGCUGCACUGUCGGGGCAGAGGCUGACUGCAGAGGGGCUCAGGCUUGGGACAGGGCAGGACAGGAGGAGUGACUGCAGGGAGCUGUCCACUCCCUGGUAGCCCGCCUGCCCAGUCUCUGCUUCUGACAUCCCCCCUUUCCUGGAGCCCCACCACACCCCCAGGGGGGCACCUGAGGGCCUCCUCUCCAGAUUCCACAGACUCCCCCAAGACUGACAACGCCGGCCCUCGCCCACAGCCUCAGAACACAGAACAAGACAUUAACAACUGACUGCAACGUGGUCAAGGUGCACCGUGGAUGCAUUUUUAGGGCUUUGUUUUUGCUCCGUUCUUUGUUCUGUUCCUCUCACUUCUGAGUAUGUUCUGUGCCCUUCGGUGGGUGUGGAAGGCUGCUUCCUCCGGGACGAUUCAGAAGGAACAGACAAGCAGUUCCGUUGCGGAGCCUGCAGGAAAACGAUGCUCCGUGGGCCGCCCUCCCCUGGCUGGGAGCAGGGCCAGGUGGUGUGGGGAUGCAGAACCUGGCACUAUCUGCCCUGCGGACGACCCUCCUGGCUGGCAGCCUCAAGCUCCUUCCUGCUUUCGCGCCCUGCCUGUGCCCCGGGAGGGCCCCUCCUGUCUCCAGUCCUUGGUCCGCUCUCAAGUCCCCAGAUCCUGUCCUCAGAGAGGCAAACAUCGCAGGCCUGGGGACAGGGCACUGGGUGGGGACAACCGCAGACCAGUUCCCCGCAUCCUAGGCUCCCGGGACGCCAGGCCAGCAGAGGUCACGACUGCCCAGAUGAGGUCACGAGCUCCGUGGGGACCUGAGGCCUGAGAG